GUUCCAUGAUGAUUCCCCCAUGCGUGUCAUCUGACCCCCCCAUUUAUCCCCCCCGCCCGCGUUCUGCUGGGCAGGGGGAGAGGAAUCCCAAGGGGAAAGUGAUCAUACCUGAAUAAC
rnacentral:snoRNA from 1 species